CACGAUGAAGAACGUGGCAUAAUGUGUUAAGUAACCGGAGUUGCAAACAUCAUGACAGGUUAAUCUUUGAAUGCAAAUUGCGCUAAACUCGAUCUCGGUCGAGAAGCAUGGGUGUGACAGUACUACAUCUUUUAUAAUAAUUCUUAUUCUAAGCGAAUAAGUAAAUAAUAUAUAAGACAAACAACACGUAGUCUGCCAUACGCAGGAAGACCCGCUGAACUGAAGCAUCUCAUUAAGCGG
rnacentral:rRNA from 1 species